GACACGCCCCUUUGAGCUGCGUGCUACAGCGAGGCUAAGCUAGUGGGAGCAAAGUUUCAGUGCAUUCCGUUGAUGUUGGCGUGAAAACGGAAACAAGUAUGCCGGCUCACUGUGCUGCAUACAAUUACACACUGCGUUGUACGAUUGAGACAAGGAAACUUGGAAUGACUUUUCAUAGGUUUCCCAGAGACUAUGGGUUGAGGAGGAAUUGGAAGUUUGUCUGCUUAGACCUGGUGUCAUUCCAUCAGUGUUAAACUUCCCGGCUCAUCUUGGAAGAGUACGUGCCAGAAAGACCACGACCAAGCAGCCUUGAGAUCUUAGGCAGUGUCUCCCUGAGACCAAAGAACUACAGACUCUUCACAACCUGCUCAAACUCUUGGUACAGGACCUCACCACACGGGUCAAGAAGGUUUCUGUCUCAUUUCUACUCUGAAGCUCACCUUCUCCUGCUCAAACUGCUGACAAAUGUUUCUGCUGCUCUAAAGUCUGGUCUCCAGAACUUCCUAAAAACUCUCAAAGUCUCUUCUGCUGCAGGUUGCUUUGUAGAACUGUUGCAGAAAACCUCACUAAACCACAUGGAGGGGCCUCAAGAUAGUCAUCCAAAUGAAACCGUACAAAAACCAAACUAGCACAACCCAAACGCUAAAGUCUCCUGCAGCCUACCAGAGAACCUCUGAGAACAGAGAAUCAGGACAGGAACUCUUACCUUCUGGACAACCAACGUUGGUUCAUAAACAAGAAUACAGAAUGUGUCUGACCAAAAACCUCUGAAGACUCACUACAGCCAAGAUAAAGACACAACUCAGCUGUACCAAAUCCACUAAUCACUGCACACAUUAGCACCAUGUGCUAACUGUGGCUAAAGAACC
ensembl:lncRNA